rnacentral:sRNA from 1 species
UGAGCACUAAGUACUGACGAGGUAUUCCAUUAGCAGUAUGGAUAUUUCUUAAUUAAGUAGUGCGAUAAAGAAAUCUAUGAACUAUUUAAGCGCUGAUUAAUAUUUUAAUAGAGUUAUUAAUUCAGACGUCGCUUUGUUCAACAUAUUAGCAAUUCGUUCCGGGGACGAGAAAUU